GCUGAGACCAAGGUGUCUUUAUUUAGACAGGGAGUCAAUGCUGAGACCAAGGUCUCUUUAUUUAGACAGGGAGUCAAUGCUGAGACCAAGGUCUCUUUAUUUAGACAGGGAGUCAAUGCUGAGACCAAGGUCUCUUUAUUUAGACAGGGAGUCAAUGCUGAGACCAAGGUCUCUUUUCCAGAGGGACCCUGUAAAGCACCACAAGACACAUAGAAAAAACACAUUAAACUACACAUUCAUAUCCACAAUACAAUACAUGUUAUUAUACACAACAAUACAGGAAAAGCAGGGAUGUGAUCUACGUGACUUCAAAGAGGUCCAGCCAACCUUUUGGUAAAGAAUACAGUGAUGAGUAAUUAAACUGUCCUGUGGUAAACCGUAAGGUGCU
rnacentral:lncRNA from 1 species